rfam:Angiostrongylus cantonensis strain Taiwan genome assembly, scaffold: ACAC_scaffold0004548
GCCGCCAUAGCUAAGUCGGAUAGAGCGUGGCUCUAAUAAGCCCAAGGUCGCAGGUUCGACCCCUGCUGGCGGCA